GUUGAGGUGGCAGAAAAAUGCGUCGAGCUUAAGUUUCGGAGAUGAGAAUUAUUCUCUCUUGACA
rnacentral:tRNA from 1 species